rnacentral:rRNA from 1 species
UUAAACUAAGAAUAUAAGGGUAGAGCUUUAUUUUCAAAAAAUUAAUAUAAGAUGAAAUAAUAAAUAAUUAUUUAAAAAUUAGACUUUUUAGUGGCCAUAUUAUUAAAGUAUUUUAACUAUUAAAAUGAAAUAAGUUUUAUUUUAAUUUUCUCUUUUUUUAGUAAAGUAUAAAUUUUUAUUAAAAAUAGAUUAGAAAUAAUGAAAAUAUUAGUAGAAUAAUUAAAUGUCAAAAUAAUUUUUUUAUAAUUUUGAAAAUAAUUUUAAUUUAAGUUAAAGAAAAAUUAAAGGAAUUCGGCAAUUUUUUUUUUCUUGCCUGUUUAACAAAAAACUGUGCAAAGGUAGCAUAAUCAUUAGUUUUUUAAUUGAAGACUUGUAUGAAUGGUCCGACAAAGUAAAAGCUGUCUUUAAUUUUAUUUUUGAAAUUAACUUUUAAGUGAAAAGGCUUAAAUAAAUUUAAGGGACGAUAAGACCCUAUAAAUCUUUAUAUUAAUUUAUUAUUUUAAAAUUUAAUAGGUUUUUUGUUUAGAAGAUAAAUAAGUAAAUAAUAUUUUAUUGGGGUGAUGAGAAUAUAAAGAAACUGUUCUUAAUUAAAACAAAGUUAUUUGUUAAGAAAAAGAUAAUUGAUCCUUUAUUAAGAUUAAAAGUUUAAGUUACUUUAGGGAUAACAGCGUUAUUUUUUUUGAGAGUUCCUAUCGAAAAAAAAGUUUGCGACCUCGAUGUUGAAUUAAAAUUUCUUUACAGUGUAGAAGUUGUAGAAGAAAGUCUGUUCGACUUUUAAAAUUUU